GAUGAACGCUGGCGGCGUGCCUAAUACAUGUAAGUCGAGCGAACGGACGAGAAGCUUGCUUCUCUGAUGUUAGCGGCGGGCGGGUGAGUAACACGUGGAUAACCUACCUAUAAGACUGGGAUAACUUCGGGAAACCGGAGCUAAUACCGGAUAAUAUUUUGAACCGCAUGGUUCAAAAGUGAAAGACGGUCUUGCUGUCACUUAUAGAUGGAUCCGCGCUGCAUUAGCUAGUUGGUAAGGUAACGGCUUACCAAGGCAACGAUGCAUAGCCGACCUGAGAGGGUGAUCGGCCACACUGGAACUGAGACACGGUCCAGACUCCUACGGGAGGCAGCAGUAGGGAAUCUUCCGCAAUGGGCGAAAGCCUGACGGAGCAACGCCGCGUGAGUGAUGAAGGUCUUCGGAUCGUAAAACCCUGUUAUUAGGGAAGAACAUAUGUGUAAGUAACUGUGCACAUCUUGACGGUACCUAAUCAGAAAGCCACGGCUAACUACGUG
rnacentral:rRNA from 1 species